GCUCAUAUAGUUCAAUGGAUAGAACGACCGGCUACGGACCGGCUGAUUCAGGUUCGAGUCCUGAUAUGAGUG
rnacentral:tRNA from 3 species